UGUUUAUUAAUUGGGUCGGAUACGGAUUUUAGAUGUUUGACCCGAUUAACCCGUGUAACCUGUUUAACUAUUGGGCUGAUAAAUAACUAAGAUAAGAGCCACAAUCCACAAAGCCCAGGGCCGACCCAACUCCCCGCCUCAGCCCAUUUUCUUUGCCUCGGCCCAACUCCCGCUCGGCCCAAUCUCAAUGCGAGGACCACCAGCCGUCCACUGCAGCACUGGCUUCACUGCUCCACCCAUCCACCGUCCGCGACUUUAGAAUCAGAUGGAUCUUUUAAUUGAGACUUCUCCGUUGUUAGGGUGAGGACUGAGGAGUGAGGACUUAGGGUUUGUGCGUCGGCGCCGCCCAAGCUCUAUUCCCUCCCUCAGCGUCCCUCUCGAGUGUCUCCCCUCUCCUCUCCAGCUCUCCUCCGGAGUCUGGACUCUUCGUCUCCCAAGCCCUCUCCUCCGGACCUUCGCCUUCGCCCUCUCCUCCCCCGUGCCGACAACUUCGGCCUCCCCGUCGACGGCGACCGCGGCGGUUCAAUAGGUCUUGGGAUUUUUUUGGCUCCCGUCGCCUUCCCUCUCCCUCUUCCAUUCGAAGUCUUCCGUGCGUGCGAGGUCGGAUCCUCUGCUCUACCGAGGAGCUUGUGACCGAGUUUCAGGGCACAUCCAAAGAAGAUGUCUGCAGCAGCAUUUGCCAAAGGCCUUCUUGAUUUGGAGGGUCAGUUAACUCCAAUUCUGGGCCUGGUUGUUCUUGGCUUUGGAGAGGCAGAGGAACUUGGACCUUGCUUACUUUAACAGGGGACUUGCAAAAAGGCAGAGAAAAUAGGGCUUGACUAUAUGAAUGUUGAAGCACUAAAAAAAUGAACAAAAACAGGAAGCUGGUCAAAAAGCUUGCUAAAAAGUACCAUGCUUUCCUAGCAUCAGAAGCGAUUAUGUAUCUUGACAUUUGUUCUAUGUCAAGCAGAUAGUAUUUUCAGGCUAUUCCAUAUGUAAAUUUGGAUGAUUUGACUUGUAUUCCUUGUCUUUGUAAAGAUUAAAUGCUUUUUGAAUAUUGCUUGUAUUAGAUGAAUGAACAAAUAACUUGUAUUCCUUAUGUUUAGCUUUUUGUAAAGAUUGAAUCCUUUUUUAAUGUCGAUGAUGUUGGGACAAGAUUUUUGUAAUAUUUUCUAUAUUUAUCUUCUUUUUUUCUUGUGCUGCUUAAAUGCUUA